rnacentral:rRNA from 1 species
UACGAAGGGGGCUAGCGUUGCUCGGAAUCACUGGGCGUAAAGCGCACGUAGGCGGUUUCUUAAGUCAGGGGUGAAAUCCCGGAGCUCAACUCCGGAACUGCCUUUGAUACUGGGAGACUUGAGUUCGGGAGAGGUGAGUGGAACUGCGAGUGUAGAGGUGAAAAUUCGUAGAUAUUCGCAAGAACACCAGUGGCGAAGGCGGCUCACUGGCCCGAUACUGACGCUGAGGUGCGAAAGCGUGGGGA